AGUCCAUCAUUAGACAUUUACUUUUGGAGUUAGGCACUGUCCGUUACUCCCAUGACCCCGCUGAGGAGGCAUGCGUAUUCAGUCCUUGUCAUCUCCGUGUGGACUUCAGAUGAAGUGGCAUGAGAACAUGGGGCAGGCACACAGAACUGUUCUCCAUGUAAGAGAAAUGAAGCAGAAGGUGCAGUGAGGGGACCAAAGGCCCUCUCUUCCAGCUUUAAGCCUUUACCUGAGCCUGCCAUCUCUCUUUCUUCUUUCUUCAAUGCUUUUCACUACAUCAUACAUCAACCCUAUUUCUAGUAGGCUACUCUCCACUCCAUUUACAUUUGGAAAGGUCAACCUCUCACUGCUAACUUCAGUCAACACAACCCUGAAGUGAAUGAAGUCACUUCACAAAUCACUACAGAAAGAGAAGCUGUCAUGGAACGCUGAACCUGACUUUGCUGAUCAGGACUGGAAAGGACUACAGAAUGAAGAGCCACGCACAACAUGAGUGGAGCCAGAUGGAAACUAAAGCCCUCUGUUUGUGACUGAUCAGGUUCCAUGGCCACUGAUUAAACCAACCACAUAUCAAAAAUAUCUGGAAAAAAAUUUCAUGUGUACCAAACAUGUACAGAAUUUUUCUUGUCAUUAUUCCCUUAAAAGAUAGCAUGACAACUAUUACCAUAGCAUUUAUAUUUUGUUAAGAAUUAAAAUUGGACUGGGAACUGAAA